rnacentral:rRNA from 1 species
UACUAGAGUAGCACUCGCAUAUCAAUAAGCGGAGGAAAAGAAACUAACAAGGAUUCCCCUAGUAACGGCGAGUGAAGCGGGAAGAGCUCAAAUUUGAAAUCUUAAAGGGUUUCCCUUUACGAAUUGUAGUUUAAAGAAGUGUUUUCUGUUGAGGUUUUGGUAAAAGUUCUUUGGAAUAGGACAUCAUAGAGGGUGAGAAUCCCGUAUUUGACCUUUACUUUCAACUUUGUGAUACACUUUCAAAGAGUCGGAUUGUUUGGGAAUGCAGUCCAAAAUGGGUGGUAAAUUUCAUCUAAAGCUAAAUAUUGGCGAGAGACCGAUAGCGAACAAGUACCGUGAGGGAAAGAUGAAAAGAACUUUGAAAAGAGAGUUAAACAGUACGUGAAAUUGUCAAAAGGGAAGCGUUUGACACCAGUGUUGUUUUUCUGAAAAUCAAUUAAAGAACUGUUUAUGCUAAGCUGUUUAGACUUUAUCAGCUAUCUGUUUAGUUUUGAGCUUUUCUUUAAUGCACUUUUCAGUUAACAAGUCAACAUCAAUUUCUUUUGCUGUAAAAAAGCUUGAGGAAGGUGGCUUGAGAUUCGUCUUAAGUGUUUAUAGCCUCUUGCCUAUGCAGUCGGAGAGAUUGAGGUCUGCAGCGUAGAUCCUUCGGGGCUAAAUGCAUUUGUGCUAAGUUAUAGCAUUUUAUAGACAACUUGUUGACUAUGAUUUGUCUUGUAGCUUACUCGCUUAUGUUAUUUUACCUACGCUUAGGAUGUUGAGCGCAUGUCUCUCUC